rnacentral:miRNA from 1 species
AGGACCUCGGUUCUAUUUUGUCG